GAUGAAGAACGUAGCGAAAUGCGAUAAGUAGUGUGAAUUGCAGAAUUCAGUGAAUCAUCGAAUCUUUGAACGCACAUUGCGCCCCUUGGUAUUCCGAGGGGCAUGCCUGUUCGAGCGUCAUUAUAACCCCUCAAGCUCAGCUUGGUAUUGGGGCCUGCCAUCCUGGCAGCCCUUAAAAUCAGUGGCGGUGCCAUCCGGCUCUAAGCGUAGUAACUCUUCUCGCUAUGGAGUCCUGGUGGAUGCUUGCCAUUAAUCUUUUAACUUCUAUGGUUGACCUCGGAUCAGGUAGGGAUACCCGCUGAACUUAAGCAUAUCAAUAAGCGGAGGA
rnacentral:misc_RNA from 1 species